GCUAGCGACAGGCUUAACACAUGCAAGUCGAGGCGCUGCGGGGUGUAGCAAUACACCGCCGGCGACCGGCGCACGGGUGAGUAACGCGUAUGCAACUUACCUAUCAGAGGGGGAUAACCCGGCGAAAGUCGGACUAAUACCGCAUGAAGCAGGGGCCCCGCAUGGGGAUAUUUGCUAAAGAUUCAUCGCUGAUAGAUAGGCAUGCGUUCCAUUAGGCAGUUGGCGGGGUAACGGCCCACCAAACCGACGAUGGAUAGGGGUUCUGAGAGGAAGGUCCCCCACAUUGGUACUGAGACACGGACCAAACUCCUACGGGAGGCAGCAGUGAGGAAUAUUGGUCAAUGGGCGUAAGCCUGAACCAGCCAAGUCGCGUGAGGGAUGAAGGUUCUAUGGAUCGUAAACCUCUUUUAUAAGGGAAUAAAGUGUAGGACGUGUCUAUUUUGUAUGUACCUUAUGAAUAAGGAUCGGCUAACUCCGUGCCAGCAGCCGCGGUAAUACGGAGGAUCCGAGCGUUAUCCGGAUUUAUUGGGUUUAAAGGGUGCGUAGGCGGCCUUUUAAGUCAGCGGUGAAAGUCUGUGGCUCAACCAUAGAAUUGCCGUUGAAACUGGGAGGCUUGAGUAUGUUUGAGGCAGGCGGAAUGCGUGGUGUAGCGGUGAAAUGCUUAGAUAUCACGCAGAACCCCGAUUGCGAAGGCAGCCUGCCAAGCCAUGACUGACGCUGAUGCACAAAAACGUGGGGAUCAAACAGGAUUAGAUACCCUGGUAGUCCACGCAGUAAACGAUGAUCAUUAGCUGUUUGCGAUACACAGUAAGCGGCACAGCGAAAGCGUUAAGUGAUCCACCUGGGGAGUACGCCGGCAACGGUGAAACUCAAAGGAAUUGACGGGGGCCCGCACAAGCGGAGGAACAUGUGGUUUAAUUCGAUGAUACGCGAGGAACCUUACCCGGGUUUGAACGCAUUUCGACCGCUCUGGAAACAGAGCCUCUAGCAAUAGCGAUUUGCGAGGUGCUGCAUGGUUGUCGUCAGUUCGUGCCGUGAGGUGUCGGCUUAAGUGCCAUAACGAGCGCAACCCUUGCCACUAGUUACUAACAGGUGAUGCUGAGGACUCUGGUGGGACUGCCAGCGUAAGCUGCGAGGAAGGCGGGGAUGACGUCAAAUCAGCACGGCCCUUACAUCCGGGGCGACACACGUGUUACAAUGGCGUGGACAAAGGGAAGCCACCUGGCGACAGGGAGCGAAUCCCCAAACCACGUCUCAGUUCGGAUCGGAGUCUGCAACCCGACUCCGUGAAGCUGGAUUCGCUAGUAAUCGCGCAUCAGCCAUGGCGCGGUGAAUACGUUCCCGGGCCUUGUACACACCG
rnacentral:rRNA from 1 species